rnacentral:rRNA from 1 species
CCUACGGGUGGCAGCAGUGGGGAAUAUUGCACAAUGGGGGGAACCCUGAUGCAGCGACGCCGCGUGGGUGAGGAAGUACUUCGGUAUGUAAAGCCCUAUCAGCAGGGAAGAAAAUGACGGUACCUGACUACGAAGCACCGGCGAAUUACGGUCCAGGAGCCGCGGUAAUACGUAGGGGGCAAGCGUUAUCCGGAUUUCCUGGGGGUAAAGGGAAUGUAGAUGGCGUGCCAUGUCUGAUGUGAAAGGCCGGGGCUCAACCCCGGGACUGCAUUGGAAACUGGCCUGCUGGAGUGCAGGAGGGGAAAGCGGAAUUCCUAGUGUAGCGGUGAAAUGCGUAGAUAUUAGGAGGAACACCGGUGGCGAAGGCGGCUUGCUGGACGGAAACUGACGUUGAGGCUCGAAAGCGUGGGGAGCAAACAGGAUUAGAUACCCCUGUAGUC